CAGUAGCCGCGGGAAUACGUAGGGUGCGAGCGUUAAUCGGAAUUACUGGGCGUAAAGCGUGCGCAGGCGGUUAUAUAAGACAGAUGUGAAAUCCCCGGGCUCAACCUGGGACCUGCAUUUGUGACUGUAUAGCUAGAGUAUGGCAGAGGGGGGUAGAAUUCCACGUGUAGCAGUGAAAUGCGUAGAGAUGUGGAGGAAUACCGAUGGCGAAGGCAGCCCCCUGGGCCAAUACUGACGCUCAUGCACGAAAGCGUGGGGAGCAAACAGGAUUAGAUACCCCGGUAGUCCCUGUCUCUUAUAC
rnacentral:rRNA from 1 species